GGGGGGGGGGGGGGGGGGGGGGGGGGGGGGGGGGGCGAGGGGGAGGGGGGGAGCGGGCUGUGGUGCGCGAGUGGCGAACGGGUGAGUAACGCGGGGGGGAUCUGCCCUGUAGUUCGGGGUAAGGUUGGGAAGCUGGGUCUAAUACCGGAUAGGAAUCACAUGUGGGUGUGGGGUUGGAAAGCUUUUGCGGUAUGGGAUGAGCUCGCGGCCUAUCAGCUUGUUGGUGGGGUAAUGGCCUACCAAGGCGUCGACGGGUAGCCGGCCUGAGAGGGUGUACGGCCACAUUGGGACUGAGAUACGGCCCAGACUCCUACGGGAGGCAGCAGUGGGGAAUAUUGCACAAUGGGCGCAAGCCUGAUGCAGCGACGCCGCGUGGGGGAUGACGGCCUUCGGGUUGUAAACUCCUUUCGUCAGGGACGAAGCGAAAGUGACGGUACCUGGAGAAGAAGCACCGGCUAACUACGUG
rnacentral:rRNA from 1 species